UACGAAGGGGGCUAGCGUUGUUCGGAAUACUGGGCGUAAGGCGCACGUAGGCGGACAUUUAAGUCAGGGGUGAAAUCCCAGAGCUCAACUCUGGAACUGCCUUUGAUACUGGGUGUCUUGAGUAUGGAAGAGGUGAGUGGAAUUCCGAGUGUAGAGGUGAAAUUCGUAGAUAUUCGGAGGAACACCAGUGGCGAAGGCGGCUCACUGGUCCAUUACUG
rnacentral:rRNA from 1 species